CCUACGGGUGGCUGCAGUGGGGAAUAUUGGACAAUGGGGGCAACCCUGAUCCAGCCAUGCCGCGUGUGUGAAGAAGGCCCUCGGGUUGUAAAGCACUUUCAGUGAGGAAGAACGCCUGGUGGUUAAUACCCAUCAGGAAAGACAUCACUCACAGAAGAAGCACCGGCUAACUCCGUGCCAGCAGCCGCGGUAAUACGGAGGGUGCGAGCGUUAAUCGGAAUUACUGGGCGUAAAGCGCGCGUAGGUGGCUUGAUAAGCCGGUUGUGAAAGCCCCGGGCUCAACCUGGGAACGGCAUCCGGAACUGUCAAGCUAGAGUGCAGGAGAGGAAGGUAGAAUUCCCGGUGUAGCGGUGAAAUGCGUAGAGAUCGGGAGGAAUACCAGUGGCGAAGGCGGCCUUCUGGACUGACACUGACACUGAGGUGCGAAAGCGUGGGUAGCAAACAGGAUUAGAUACCCCGAGUAGUC
rnacentral:rRNA from 1 species